GCGGGAUUAGUUUAGUGGUAGAAUGAGUCCUUCCCAAGGAUUAGACACGAGUUCGAUUCUCGUAUCCCGCA
rnacentral:tRNA from 1 species